UUAAGUUCAGCGGGUAUCCCUACCUGAUCCGAGGUCAAUCAUUAGAAGUUGGGGGUUUUGGCGCGGUCCCUCUGGGUUCCAUAGCGAGAAAAGUUACUACGCUUAGAACCAGAGGGCACUGCCACUGAUUUUAAGAGCUGCUAGGUAGCAUGCUCCAACACCAAGCUAGGCUUGAGGGUUAUAAUGACGCUCGAACAGGC
rnacentral:misc_RNA from 1 species